rnacentral:rRNA from 1 species
AGCGAACGCUGGCGGCAGGCUUAACACAUGCAAGUCGAGCGGGCACCUUCGGGUGUCAGCGGCAGACGGGUGAGUAACCCGUGGGAACGUACCCUUCGGUUCGGAAUAACGCUGGGAAACUAGCGCUAAUACCGGAUACGCCCUUAUGGGGAAAGGUUUACUGCCGAAGGAUCGGCCCGCGUCUGAUUGGCUAGUUGGUGGGGUAACGGCCUACCAAGGCGACGAUCAGUAGCUGGUCUGAGAGGAUGAUAAGCCACACUGGGACUGAGACACGGCCCAGACUCCUACGGAGGGCAGCAGUGGGGAAUAUUGGACAAUGGGCGCAAGCCUGAUCCAGCCAUGCCGGGUGAGUGAUGAAGGCCUUAGGGUUGUAAAGCUCUUUUGUCCGGGACGAUAAUGACGGUACCGGAAGAAUAAGCCCCGGCUAACUUCGUG